rnacentral:rRNA from 1 species
AUCCAGCCAUGCCGCGUGUGUGAAGAAGGUCUUCGGAUUGUAAAGCACUUUAAGUUGGGAGGAAGGGUAUUAACCUAAUACGUUAGUACUUUGACGUUACCGACAGAAUAAGCACCGGCUAACUCUGUGCCAGCAGCCGCGGUAAUACAGAGGGUGCAAGCGUUAAUCGGAAUUACUGGGCGUAAAGCGCGCGUAGGUGGUUUGUUAAGUUGAAUGUGAAAUCCCCGGGCUCAACCUGGGAACUGCAUCCAAAACUGGCAAGCUAGAGUAUGGUAGAGGGUAGUGGAAUUUCCUGUGUAGCGGUGAAAUGCGUAGAUAUAGGAAGGAACACCAGUGGCGAAGGCGACUACCUGGACUGAUACUGACACUGAGGUGCGAAAGCGUGGGGAGCAAACAGGAUUAGAUACCCUG